UACGAAGGGGGCUAGCGUUGCUCGGAAUUACUGGGCGUAAAGCGCACGUAGGCGGCUUCUUAAGUCGGUGGUGAAAUCCUGGAGCUCAACUCCAGAACUGCCUUCGAUACUGGGAGCUCGAGUCCGGGAGAGGUGAGUGGAACUGCGAGUGUAGAGGUGAAAUUCGUAGAUAUUCGCAAGAACACCAGUGGCGAAGGCGGAC
rnacentral:rRNA from 1 species